UUUUUUUUUUUUUUUUUUUUUUUUUAGAUAUGUUCUUCAUUUACAUUUCAAAUGCUAUUCCCAAAGCCCCCUAUACCGUGCCCUUGCCCUGCUCCCCAACCCACCCACUCCUGCUUCCUGGCCCUGGCAUUUCCCUGUAUUGGGGCAUAUGAUCUUCACAAGACCAAGGACCUCUCCUCUCAUUGAUGGCCGACUAGGCCCCUCUGCUACAUAUGCAACUAGAGACACAAGCUCUAUGGGGUUCUGGUUAGUUCAUAUUGUUGUUCCUCCUAUAGGGUUGCAGACCCCUUCAGCUCCUUGGGCACUUUCUCUAGCUCCUUUAUUAAGGGCCCUGUAUUCCAUCCAAUAGAUGACUGUGAGCAUCCACUUCUGUAUUUGCCAGGCACUGGCAUAGCCUCACAAAAGAGAGCUAUAUCAAGGUCCUGACAGCAAAAUCUUUCUGGCAUAUGUAUAGUGUCUGGGUUUGGUGGUGGCAUAUGGGAUGGAUCCCUGGGUGGGGCAGUCUCUGGAUGGUUCUUCCUUCCAUCUCAACUUCGAACUUUGUGACAGGAACAAUUCUAUGUUGGGAAUUUUAACUGUGCAUUUGUAACCUGUCCUUUCACUUGAGGCCCUGUCUAUCUACUAGAGGUGGACUCUUCGAGUCCCUUUCCCCAAUUUUGGGCAUUUUACCUAAGGUCAUCCCCAAUGAGUACUGAGAGGAUCUCGACUCCCUGGGUCUUUGGUAGACCUACUUCACAUCUCUGGAGGUUGCUUAUUUCCAGCCCAUUCCCCCACAUCUGAUCCUGUUCUCCUUUUCCCUCCCCUUCCCUCCUCCCACACAGGUCCCUCCAUCCCUCCUUCUCCUGUGAUUAUUUCCUUCCACCUUCUAAGUGGGUCAAAGACUCCUCACUUGAGCAUUUCUGCUUGUUACACUUCUUACAGUCCGUAGUUGUAUCCUAGGUAUUAUGUACUUUCCCCUGCUAUCAAUUUAUCAAUGAGUAUAUAACAUGCAUAUCCUUUUGGGUCUCAGUCAACACACAAAGGAUAACAUUUUCUAGUUCCUUCAAUUUGCCUGUAAAAUUCAUGAUGUCCUCAUAUUUAAUAGCUGAAUAAUAUUCUAUGUGUAAAUGAACCACAUUUUCUGUAUCCAUUCUUUUAUUGAGGGACAUCUGGGUUGUUUCCAGUUUCUGGCUAUGACAAAUUAGGCUGCUACAAACAUGGUGGAGCACAGGUCUUUGUGGUAUGGUUAGGAAUUUUUUGGGUAUAUGCCCAAAAAUGGUAUAGGUAGGUCUGCAGGUAGAAUUAUUUCCAAUUUUCUGAUUGAUUGAUUUCAAGGGUAAUUGUACGAGGUUGCAGCCCCACAAGCGGUGGAGGAGUGCUUCUCUUCUUCCACAUCCAUACCAGCAUGUGCUGUCACUUGAGUUUUUGAUCUUAGCCAUUCUGAUUGGUGUGAGAUAGAAUCUCCGGUUUGUUUUGAUUUACAUUUCUCUUAUGGCUAAGGACUUUAAACAUUUCUUUAAGUGAUUCAAAGUCAUUUGAGAUUCUUUUGUUGUGAAUUCUCUGUUUAGCUAUGUACCCCAUUUUAAAUUGGGCUACUUGUGUAUUGGAGGUUGAUGUCUUAAGUUCUUUAUAUAUUUUAAAUAUUAGUCCUCUGUUAGAUAUAGGGUUAGUUAAGAUUGUUUCCUAAUCUGUAGGUUGCCAAUUUGUCCUACAGUGUCCAGUGGUGUCUUACAGAAAUUUUGCCUUACAGAAAUUUCAUAAGGUCCCAUUUAUCAAUUAUUGAUCUUAAAACGUGAGACAUUGUUGUUCUGUUCAGAGAAAUUUCCCCUGUGCCAGUGAGUUCAAGGCUCAUUCCCACUUUCUCUUCUAUUAGAUUCUGUGUAUCUGGUCUUAUGUGGAGGUCCUUGAUACACUUUGCCUUGAACUUUGAACAAGGGGAUAAGAAUGGAUCAAUUAUCAUUCUUCUGCAUGCUGACCAUCAGUUGAACAAGCAUAAUCUGUUGAAAAUACUUUAUUUUUUCACUGGAUGGUUUUGGGUUCUUUGUCAAAGAUCAAGUGACCAUAGGUGUGUGGGUUUAUUUCUGGGUCUUCAGUUCUAUUCCAUUGAUCUAUCUGCCUUUCUCUGUACCAAUAUCGUGUGGGUUUUUAUUACUAUUACUUUGUAAUGCAGCUAAUAUCAAAAUCAGGUCUGAAAUCAACCAUUAAAAAAACAAAGAUGAGGAUACAAAGAAGCAACAAAACUAGGGGCUGGUUCUUUGAGAAUAACAAGAAAUAUAUAGCUUUAGCCAAACGAACUAAGGGGUCACAGAGACAGUAUUCUAAUUAACAAAAUCAGAAAUGAAAAGGAGACAUAAUAACAUAACCUGAAUAAAUUUAAAAAAUCAUCAGAACCUACUACAAAAUUUUGUACUCUACAAAACUGGAAAUUCUAGAUUAAAUAGAUGAUUUUCUAGACAGAUACCUCAUACCAAAGUUAAAUCAAGAUCAGGUUAAAUCUCUAAACAGUUCCAUAAGUCCUAAGGAAAUAGAAAUUUUCACCCAAAACCUCCCAACC
rnacentral:lncRNA from 1 species